UACGUAGGGCGCGAGCGUUGUCCGGAAUUAUUGGGCGUAAAGAGCUCGUAGGCGGUCUGUUGCGUCGGCUGUGAAAACCCGGGGCUCAACUCCGGGCCUGCAGCCGAUACGGGCAGACUAGAGUUCGGCAGGGGAGACUGGAAUUCCUGGUGUAGCGGUGAAAUGCGCAGAUAUCAGGAGGAACACCGAUGGCGAAGGCAGGUCUCUGGGCAUUAACUGACGCUGAGGAGCGAAAGCAUGGGGAGCGAACAGG
rnacentral:rRNA from 1 species